AUACGUAGGGGGCGAGCGUUGUCCGAAAUGAUUGGGCGUAAAGGGCACGUAGGCGGCCCGGUAAGUCUGGAGUGAAAGUCCUGUUUUUAAGAUGGGAAUUGCUUUGGAUACUGUCGGGCUUGAGUGCAGGAGAGGUAAGUGGAAUUCCCAGUGUAGCGGUGAAAUGCGUAGAGAUUGGGAGGAACACCAGUGGCGAAGGCGACUUACUGGACUGUAACUGACGCUGAGGCGCGAAAGUGUGGGGAGCAAACAGGAUUAGAUACCCUGGUAGUCCACACUGUAAACGAUGAAUGCUAGGUGUAGGGGGUAUCGACCCCUUCUGUGCCGCAGUCAACACAAUAAGCAUUCCGCCUGGGGAGUACGGCCGCAAGGUUGAAACUCAAAGGAAUUGACGGGG
rnacentral:rRNA from 1 species